AAACCAUGAUGUGAAAAGCUCCUCAACAAAUCCUUGAAACAUUUCCAAUAAUCAUUCAAAGUUUCAUUCUCCUACUGAAGAAGUCCUGAUAUAUCAUUCCUCAACUU
rfam:Ricinus communis cultivar Hale ctg_1100012363065, whole genome shotgun sequence.